GGAGAGAUGGCUGAGAGGAGCAUGUAUAUAUUGUAAUUGUAUAUAUACAAGGGUUCGAAUCCCUUUCUCUCCG
rnacentral:tRNA from 1 species